ACGGAAGGCAGCAGUGGGGAAUAUUGCACAAUGGGCGGAAGCCUGAACCAGCCAUGCCGCGUGAAGGAAUAAGGUCCUAUGGAUCGUAAACUUCUUUUGAGUGGGAGCAAUAAGGUCUACGAGUAGAUCGAUGAGAGUACCAUUCGAAUAAGCAUCGGCUAACUCCGUGCCAGCAGCCGCGGUAAUACGGAGGAUGCAAGCGUUAUCCGGAUUUAUUGGGUUUAAAGGGUGCGUAGGCUGUUGAUCAAGUCAGAGGUGAAAUGCCGCAGCUCAACUGUGGAAUUGCCUUUGAUACUGGUUGGCUUGAAUACUGUUGCCGUGGGAGGAAUGAGUAGUGUAGCGGUGAAAUGCAUAGAUAUUACUCAGAACACCGAUUGCGAAGGCAUCUCACGAAGCAGUCAUUGACGCUGAGGCACGAAAGCGUGGGGAUCAAACAGGAUUAGAUACCCUGGUA
rnacentral:rRNA from 1 species